GACAGAGGUGCCAAGCGUUAGGCGGAAUCACUGGGCUUAAAGCGUGUGUAGGCGGACUGGUAAGUACCUUGUGAAAUCCCACAGCUCAACUGUGGAACUGCUUGGUAUACUGCUUGUCUUGAGCCACUUAGGGGCUACCGGAACAAAUGGUGGAGCGGUGAAAUGCGUAGAUAUCAUUUGGAACGCCAAUGGUGAAAACAGGUAGCUGGGAGUGUGCUGACGCUGAGACACGAAAGCCAGGGGAGCGAACGGG
rnacentral:rRNA from 1 species